rnacentral:piRNA from 1 species
CAGCUGUUGAGAGGAAACUUCU